rnacentral:rRNA from 1 species
GGAUAACCUACCCUUUAGGACUGGGAUAACUUGGGAAACUGAGGCUAAUACCGGAUAGGCAAUUUUUCCUGUAAUGGUUUUUUGUUUAAAUGUUUUUUCGCCUAAGGAUGGGUCUGCGGCCGAUUAGGUAGUUGGUUAGGUAAUGGCUUACCAAGCCGUUGAUCGGUACGGGUUGUGAGAGCAAGAGCCCGGAGAUGGAACCUGAGACAAGGUUCCAGGCCCUACGGGGUGCAGCAGGCGCGAAACCUCCGCAAUGUGAGAAAUCGCGACGGGGGGAUCCCAAGUGCCAUUCUUAACGGGAUGGCUUUUCAUUAGUGUAAAGAGCUUUUGGAAUAAGAGCUGGGCAAGACCGGUGCCAGCCGCCGCGGUAACACCGGCAGCUCUAGUGGUAGCAAUUUUUAUUGGGCCUAAAGCGUCCGUAGCCGGUUUAAUAAGUCUCUGGUGAAAUCCUGUAGCUUAACUGUGGGAAUUGCUGGAGAUACUAUUAGACUUGAGACCGGGAGAGGUUGGAGGUACUCCCAGGGUAGAGGUGAAAUUCUGUAAUCCUGGGAGGACCGCCUGUUGCGAAGGCGUCUAACUGGAACGGUUCUGACGGUGAGGGACGAAAGUUAGGGGCGCGAACCGGAUUAGAUACCCGGGUAGUCCUAACUGUAAACGAUGCGGACUUGGUGUUGGGGUGGCUUUGAGCUGCUCCAGUGCCGAAGGGAAGCUGUUAAGUCCGCCGCCUGGGAAGUACGGUCGCAAGACUGAAACUUA